UACGGAGGGUGCGAGCGUUGUUCGGAAUCACUGGGCGUAAAGCGCGUGUAGGCGGCCCACUAAGUCUGAUGUGAAAGCCCGGGGCUCACCCCCGGAAGUGCAUUGGAAACUGGUGGACUCGAGUCCCGGAGAGGAGAGUGGAAUUCCUGGUGUAGCGGUGAAAUGCGUAGAUAUCAGGAGGAACACCGGUGGCGAAGGCGGCUCUCUGGACGGUGACUGACGCUGAUGCGCGAAAGCCAGGGGAGCAAACGGG
rnacentral:rRNA from 1 species